rnacentral:rRNA from 1 species
AUACGGAGGGUGCAAGCGUUACUCGGAAUCACUGGGCGUAAAGCGCUCGCAGGCGGCUAUUUAAGUUGGAUGUGAAAGCCUACGGCUCAACCGUAGAACUGCAUCCAAAACUAUUUAGCUAGAGUGUGGGAGAGGAAGAUGGAAUUAGUUGUGUAGGGGUAAAAUCCGUAGAGAUAACUAGGAAUACCAAAAGCGAAGGCAAUCUUCUGGAACAUUACUGACGCUGAGGCGCGAAAGCGUGGGGAGCAAACAGGAUUAGAAACCCUAGUAGUCC